GUAUGUGAUUUUAAAUGUGACCCUUUGGAAGAUUUUCUUCUAACCAAUGAGAGAUGUUCUUUUAUGCUGGACCUUUUGAUGUCAGGUACCAUCAACUACAGGUGUUAGGAUUAUUUGGAGGUAGACCUUUUGACCAGGCCAUGGAGCUUGCUUGCUGGGCAUCUCAAGUUGCAUAUCUACCUUUUUGCUGAAAAUGUAGACUGACUUGAAAAAAAAUCUACAAAGCCUGCAGCUAAGAAUUUUAUCAGUAGACUCAAGAGCUUCCUGCAGCUUCUUCCUAAUGUCACAAGACCACAGUGUCUUGUCCUUGUGGAUAUUUUAAUGGAAUUUCAUCUGUCUCAAUAUUGUUUUACACUGAUUCAGAGUGGCUGACUUCAUUCCUUGCUAUGAGAUACUCUCAGGCAUUAAGACACUUUUAUCUGUUUCUGCAGGAUGGAUUCAAUUCAUGAACUCCCAGACCAGAUCAUGUCAAACAAGUAGACUUCGAUUUUUGUCAUGAGAAAAAUCUCAUUCUCUUACUUCACAGUCUACUUAAGGGGCAGCUGUCCUCAACUACUUUAAUGAAUGCACUGGUUAAAUGUUGGGAAUGAUUUCUUUGUAUCUUUGUCUCUUACUCUUUAGACUAACCCUGAUUACAUGACUCUGUCUACAAAUCAUCAAACAAGGCCUGCACAUCCUCAACUAAUAAAAAAUCUAAUGACUAGCUGCUUGUAUAUACAACUAUUGUUUGUUAAUAAGAAGUUAUCUACAGACUCCAUUUUUCUACUACCUUCAAAACAUCAGCUCAAUUUUCUCUUUCUCCUGUACAUUACAGAAAAAGACAUUGGUCUACACUGCCAGUCAUUCCCUUUAAUCCGGUCAAAUGCAGUCAAAAUGAGGGGCUUAAGAUCACAUCCUGGCUAUUGGUGUGGCUAGCCCUGCUGAAGGUACUCUAUUUACCUGUUUACCUGACUCAGCCCUCGUCUGCCUUUUUUGACACGUUGCAAUCAGACUGGCUGUGCUUGAGAAGACUACAACUGGUAUCAGCCUAUCUUACACCCAGUUCCACCAGGGAAUUUUGAACAGAAGCAACCUGCACCUCACCUCCCCCCCAGCCCCCAGGACUUACUAUUCAUAACUGGAAGGACCAUGCUAUGUACUCCUUGACCAGCAGCCUUUUUGUUUGUUCGUUUUGUUUUGUUUUUAAUGCAGAGUAAGCCUCUAUGCCUAUAUAUAUUUGAUCAUUUUCAGCACCUGAGAUCCUUUCCACCCAAUCUGGAGUACAGCAGAUUACAAGCUCUGUCCAUUCCUCUCUUCUGCAAUAAUACAGAGAUGACAGAAAUGUUCCAGUUCAACUUGGCGAAAGACUAAAGAAACACAAGAGCUUUCCACUGAACUUAAAAUUUACCACUGACUUCAGUAGUCUCACAGAACUAUUUGCCAGUGGGAGGCUAGUUGUCCUGCUUCAUGUCAGCAAGAUGGUUGGGCUGUCAGAUUCAUGGCCACUGAGUUUUACUUUUAUUGAAACUUUAUUGCAUCAUCCAAAGUAUGCUAUUGGAUAUGAUUAUUCCAUUCAAAUGGAUUACAAGCUUCCUGAGUACAGGACAAACUUACUCAUGACGUUUUUUCAGAAUUCUUUUAUUGUCAAGAAAGUAACAAUGCCAGCUGUUACUGAACACAGACUAAACUUUUUUAGUAUCUGGUCUUAUCAUUGGCAUCAGUUGUUUUUGAUUGACCAGCAUUCAUUCCAUCUCAUUGUAACAACUCUGAUGUUUCUUGGAACCACUUCCCUGUUUCUAGUCCACAUGGUUCAAACAGUCUGGCCUAACUUUAAGCUUCUUGGGUGGACAUGUAAUUCAGACCUGAUCAAUCAGCAUGGUCCACCUCCUUCACCAUAGUAAUUGGUUCUGGAAUGGCCGUGUGAUUCAAGCUGGUCCAGUGAUACUCAGCCCUAGGAGUUUUACUGAACUGUGGAGGAGAGGCUCAGGAGCUCUCUUUACUGAGAUUGCUUGACUUUGUAGUAUGAAAAGUUCUAACCAACAGGGCCCACCCUAUCAAAUGAGCCAGAGAAUGAAGCCAGUGCAAAGGAAAGCAGAGCCAAAUGAUGGAGAGACUUGAGUCCUGAUGACAAUGUUUAUGCCCCUGGAUCCAACCGUGCCUGAAGCUAGUUUAUCCCUAUGGACUUUUCAGUUAUGUGAGCCAAUAAAUACCCUUUUUUGCUUUAA